CAAGUUGGCCGGGUGACCGCUGCUACCUAUACCGUAAUUCGGUGCAGUAGCAGAGGAAAGUCCGGGCUCCAUAGGAUAGAGUGCCAGGUAACGCCUGGGGAGCGAGAGCUUACGGAAAGUGCCACAGAAAAUAUACCGCCAAUCUGAUUGGUAAGGGUGAAAUGGUGCGGUAAGAGCGCACCGCGUCGGUUAAAUGCCGGUGGCAGGGUAAACCCCACUCGGAGCAAGACCAAAUAGGGAAACAUCUCGGUUCGCCGAGAAUACGUCAUCCGCGUUAGUUUUCGGGUAGGUCGCUUCAGGCGCUUGGUGACAAGCGUCGCAGAUGAAUGGUCACCGCACUGUGUUUCACAGUAGUACAGAACCCGGCUUAUAGGCCAACUUGCUUU
rnacentral:RNase_P_RNA from 1 species